rnacentral:rRNA from 1 species
AGGAUGAACGCUAGCUACAGGCUUAACACAUGCAAGUCGAGGGGAAACGAUAGGGAAAGCUUGCUUUUCCUAGGCGUCGACCGGCGCACGGGUGAGUAACGCGUAUCCAACCUGCCCAUGUCUGGGGAAUAACCCGUCGAAAGGCGGACUAACUCCCCAUGGUCUCCGAUGAGGACAUCUGAAUUGGAGUAAAGCUUCGCGGACAUGGAUGGGGAUGCGUCUGAUUAGGUAGUAGGCGGGGUAACGGCCCACCUAGCCUACGAUCAGUAGGGGUUCUGAGAGGAAGGUCCCCCACAUUGGAACUGAGACACGGUCCAAACUCCUACGGGAGGCAGCAGUGAGGAAUAUUGGUCAAUGGACGCGAGUCUGAACCAGCCAAGUAGCGUGCAGGAUGACGGCCCUAUGGGUUGUAAACUGCUUUUGCGCGGGGAUAACACCCUCCACGUGCUGGAGGUCUGCAGGUACCGCGCGAAUAAGGACCGGCUAAUUCCGUGCCAGCAGCCGCGGUAAUACGGAAGGUCCGGGCGUUAUCCGGAUUUAUUGGGUUUAAAGGGAGCGUAGGCCGUGAGGUAAGCGUGUUGUGAAAUGUAGGCGCCCAACGUCUGCACUGCAGCGCGAACUGCCCCACUUGAGUGCGCGCAACGCCGGCGGAACUCGUCGUGUAGCGGUGAAAUGCUUAGAUAUGACGAAGAACCCCGAUUGCGAAGGCAGCUGGCGGGAGCGUAACUGACGC